UAAGGAACGCCGGGCAGUCGGAGGUCUCUCUCCCGCCCCCGCGCCUCCCCGGCGGGCCCCUCCUCCCACCCGCCGGAAGGCUCGGGGUCUGGGGCGUUCUCAGCCUGCGCGGGGCAGCGUGGUCACCCGCCUCCCCAAAAGGUGUGCCUGGCCGGGGCGCGGCGGCGGCAGUCGCUGCAGGCGCCGCCACCGCCCUGGGGGAGGGAGGACGCGCCCUCCUGGCGGCGGAGCCGGUCCCGCCACCGAGCAUGCCCAGAGGCUGCCGGGCGCGGCGUAGUCCGCAGUCCCGGUUUUCGCGGCAGCAGGCUGGAGCGGGAGGCAGGCUGGGAUGAGGUUGGAGGGGCCCAGGAUAGGCCCAAAAGAAGGGGGCACUGGGCGUUAGGGACGCAGACUCAGCCAGUUAGCCAGGGCGGCGUGCUGGGGAUGCUGUAUUUUCACGCCGACACCCGUAUUUUCUUGGCGUGCCUCAAGCCUUCUCGGCGUGACUCGUUACCCCGCCGAAGCCACCCGGGACCCCCAAAGCACGAGCCUGACGCCUCCUAUUCCACGCGGAAGUGCCCGAGUGACCCUGUGAAGGACCUCCUUCCCCUCACACACGCACAUACACAAGCCCAUGUGGGAGCCCGAGUGACGCGUGCUCGGUGGUCAUGCACCAUCAUUUCCCUUCCACCUUCCUCCUCGCCGCUUCCUCUCCCUCCACUGCACAGUUCCAGCCGCCCCGCCACUGCCGCAUCCCCUUCCAAGUUCAGACCGUGGGUGGAACCUGUUGCUUUAGCUCGCAUUUCCUUUCCCCUCUGGGCUGCACACUGAGGAUGACCUCAGCGAGGUACCUGAGUCAAAGAAACCUAUGCUGGCGUUUUCGAAAACACACGGGCUGCCUGAGUCUGGCAGCUCAUCUCCUUAGGAAGAAGGUUCUGUGAAAUGAAAAAUACCAACACUUGGAAAGACAUGGAUGCGUCACAGAGCGCCUACUAAGGAUUUCCUGUGAACCAACCAUUCUGACCUGUAAGAACUGGGAAACUAGGAAAUGCCCUUUUCUCUGUGGUAAUUAUGAAAAAUGUUAAUUUUAUAACAAACAAGAGAACCAGUUUCUCUGAAUUUCCAGAUUUGGGCCUGUUGCUAAUUAUUCCCAGUGAAUUCUAGCCUGGAUAAAAUGACUUCCCUGGCGUGGCACAGUCCAGAUGGAAGAAAAGGGGAAUACACGGGAUUCCUAAGUAGGGAGUGGCUGCCACCCUGAGGAUUCUUCUAAGCCCCGGUGGGAUGUGGUGCUGAGACCCUUUUUGAAGUGAUUUCUGUGAGGCACGACUCUCCUGUCCUAGGUAUACCUGAGCUAGGAAAGAUAAUCUAACCUUUCAACUCCUCUGGAAGCAGAAAUCUUAGGAAUAACAGGAAAAGGGGCCUUCUGGUCUGGCCAGCUCUUUUGUAAAACCGUACUGAUGGUGAUUUAAAUUGUCUUUUACGGUAACAUCUGUAAAUAGCCUGUCUUGUGCACCAAAGAUGGUUUGAUUUUGAGAUUGCUGUGGAGCCCUGCCUGCCACUCCAGCGGGGUGGAGGUGGGCCUGAGAGUUGGAAGCUGUGAGUAGGAAACACUGGUAUGCUGGGAAUUAGAUAGCUGUUUUUCAGUUCACCAUAUGACCUGGCAUGGCUUAGAUCACAAAAAGCUCCCUGCUCUGCGGCAGGACACAGGUAGACAUUUAAGUACUGAUUACCUGGGGUAAUAAGGGAGACUUGUGAUUUCAUUCCAAGUUUUGAACAUUAGGGCCUCCUAAGCCACCCACCCAGACUCACUCUGAGCUCUGGGCUCAUCCCCCUGUUGCCCAGAUGGUCCAUUUUCAGGGAAUGCAAAAUAGGCCUAAGAAAAAUGUUUGGGAAAGUCAGUCUACUGCCAAAAAUGCAUGGCAUUUCAAAGCUAAAUAUAAACAUCUUUGAAUUACCUGUGCUUUUAAAUUGUUUUCCGAACAGAUAUUUCUGGAUCAGAUGGGAAUAUACCAGGUUUCCCUUUUCCUUUUCUCUUCAUGCAAGGUGCCUGACUAGCCCAGUUUCCUUUCUGUUUCCAGCCUUCCGUCUUCUGCCAGGAGCCCUCCCACUUUGGAACAGAAAGCCCUGCCAACUCCUAGGCCCAGCAACAGCCUGCAGAUAUGUCCAGCAGGAUAGGGGGAUGAUUUGCAAAGUGAUUGAAAGAUUCUGUCUUCCUGUUUACAGGAAUAUUUUUUCAAGUUAGGGGCUUGGAGACUUAGUGUCUCCUGAAACCUUUGUAAAUUAGACAUCAGAGGUGUGGGAUAAGCACCUUCAUGCUCUGGCUCCAGCACCUUUCCCCAUCAAUCAAUCAACAAGUCCUGUCAAUUCUACCUAAAGACAAGUUCCCUCUUAAAUACCCACUGUCCCCACCCCAGUCUAGGCCACUGUGUCCUGAAAUUACUAAAUAGUUUCUCAAGUGAUCCCUGCCCAUUCUCUUCAUGCAGCCAGAGUGGCCUUACUAAAAUGCAAAUCUAAACAAAUCUCUUGCUUCAUUAACUACUCUUCUACCCACCCCACUUCUUUGGAUAAAUUUUUACUCAUCCUUCAAGUCUCAGCUUAAAUGUUACUUUCUGGAAGGCUUGCCUGAUUCUCUGUACCUGCCCUUACUGGGUCAGGUGACAUUUGCGUGUGCCCAUGACACUCACUGCGUCAAUCUUACGCCCUGUGUCGAGGUUGCUGUUUAACUGCCCAUCUUCUCUACUAGACUCAUGAUGAGAAAUACAUUUUAUAUCAAGACAUAGGCCACACACUCAUAUAAAAAUAUAUGCAAGGGAAAGAAACUUUCAUAAAACAUUUAUUUUGUAAAAUCGUAUUCUAAUUCAUUUAAAACAAAAUCUUGUCACACUUUACUGCAUUGAGGCUUCUAUUGUGAAAAAAAUACUCUAAAUUCCAUGAAGAGAACGACAGUUUCUCUCAUUCACAGUACAUGGAAUGGAAUAGGAGCUUAACAAGUAUUAGUUGCUGGAAUUAUUAAGGAUAAUAUCUAAUUCAUGUAAUCCUCAAAGAUCCUAUGAAGAAACUCCUCUUAUCCCCACUUACAGAUGAGGAGGCUGAAGACAGUAACUUGCCCAGUGUCAAAAAGCUGGUAAGGUAGAUGGCAGAGCCAGGAUUUGAACCUGAAUAGUUUGCAUUGCCCCUUGCAUAUUAUUUCAUGGAUGAAUUUACCAAGCAAAAAUGUCAGAAAGGGUUUCCUUGCAGCAACUUCAAGCUAGAUCUCAGUCUGCCCUGCAGAGGCUCCUUGGGCAGUAUUUAUGUCCAUGCAGUGGAGACGGCAUCUGGCAAGAACAGCUGUUCCCCUUUGCUCACAUGUGCUCAAUCUCCUCAACCACCAAGUCCAGCAAUAUUUAGCAAGUAGGGAGAUUUAAUUGUGUAAAGGAGGAGUACAGAUACUUCCAAAAAUGCAAUUUCACAUUGUUAUGAACUAUGUGCUAUAUGUUCUCCCCCCAAAAACAAAUCCUUUAAAAAGAAAGCCACCAGGAGAUUGGGGUAUUUAUUUUGUCAUCCAUAGGAGACUGUCUAGAUUAAUACUCAAAAGUAAGGGUAAGAAGAUCGUAUUCCUCAGGGGUCAGUGCUAUAUAGGACUUUAAUCUGUAAAGGCAACAUUUGAGAAAGGACAGGAUUGAAAUAUUUGAAUCAAAGAGUAUGAAUAGGAAAAUAUUUACUUGCAGAAUUCCCGAACGAAUUCUUACAUUAUUAGCCCUGACGCUGAGCCUUAAGUUGUGGCAUUUAGAGUAAUAAAGAAAUGGCUGGCAAAGGGUUGUAUUUCAUCUCUAUUACAGGAAUUACAUGCAGGUCACAUGCAGUACACAGAUGUUCUCCUAUUUCAUCACCUGAGUAUAGCUACAUGGAGAUAUUUAACAGCCCUGUGGGGUAAAGUGUCCUGGAUACAGACCAUCUGGGGUUUGUUUCUGGCCUUAUCAAUAACCAGCUUUACGACCACAGUUUCCUCAUGAAGGAGCCCAGACACAUGAUCACAGUGUUUCGCAAAUAGUAGCAAUUAAUUAAAUGAAUAAAUAACGAGGGAACUAAAAAGCUUCUCCCAGCUUGAAGACUAUGGAUUUCAUUCUAGAAACGAUGAGAAAUAGAGUAUAAAAAUGUCUCUGAAUCUUUUCAUCACCUUUCUUGUUGGGGGAUAUAAAGUUGGUUCUUCCACUAAUUAAAAACCAAGGUCUAUCUCUAUUAGGCAGGUUGGCCUUCUUGGGUGCAUAGUAAUGCUUUUUUAUUUCUGUAGAGCCAAUGGGUUAAUCUUAACUAGUCUAUACAUGUAGAUAUUUUGGAAAUGGAUUCUAUGUACACCUAAAAUCAUUUUCUUCUCACUUUCACUUACAGAGCUAUAUUUUAAUGAAAAUAGUUCCUUUAAAAAUUAACUUAUUAAAUGUUUUUAUUUUCUAGCAAACCAUGAGAUUAUAUUUGUUUUCAACAUUUUCCUCAAUAAAAAAAAAUGAAAUGGCAAAAUAUAGGCAAAAUAGCACUUAAAAGAUAUCUCCAAUGACCUAUUUUCCAAACUUGAAACCAGGACACGUGUUACUACAGUGCUUACAGAAAGUAGGUGAAUGUAUGUUUGAAAUGAAGAUUAUCCUGAACUAUCUGUAGACGUUGGCAAAUGAAGCAACCCUAAUGGCAGCAGAGGAAUGGUGUCUUUAUCAGAGAAAAGUCACUCAGAGGGUGCCAGUCAGGGCCUCAGCAGGUGGCUGUACAGAUUGUGCCCUGUAUAGUGCCAGGAUUAUGAACCAUACAACAGGUCUCUGCCAGGAGGGACCAUUUGGCACCAUUCACAUAGAUGGCAAUGUGAAUGGUGUCCCCUGGAGUUGUGCAGUGCACAAUCUGCAUAACAGUACACAGAAUCUCUGCAAGAAUUCCACUGGUAGGAAAUGUGCUCUCUUGACAAAUUGGAAGAGGGAGGCUGAUGUUCUUUUGCUAAUAAAGUCAUUCCUCAUAUUGGAUGGCAACGUCAAAAAUUCAACUAAAUUCUAGUGUUUUUUUCUUUUCCCAGAAGUUUUUUACCACCACAUUCUACUUUCCUUAAGUUCCUAGCAAUUCUUAAAAAUGCAAGUCUGGGCUGGGUGCAGUGGCUCAUGCCUGUAAUCCCAGAACUUUGGGAGGCCUAGGCGGGUAGAUCAUGAGGUCAGGAGUUCGAGACCAGCCUGGCCAAUAUGGUGAAAUCCUGUCUCUACUAAAAAUACAAAACUUAGUCGGGUGUGGUGGUGGGUGCCUGUAAUCCCAGCUACUCAGGAGGCUGAGGCAGGAGAAUUGCUUGAACACAGGAGGCAGAGGAUGCAGUGAGCCGAGAUCGCGCCACUGCACUCCAGCCUAGGUGACAGAGCAAGACUCUGUCUCCAAAAAAAAAAAGCAAGUCUGUAAGCAACUCUGAACUUACUUUUUAAACUUCAUUGAAGGAAAUAAAUUGAACAAAAGGGCAUUUAGAAAAAGCUGGGGAAGUUUGUAGACAACUGCAAAAUGUCAGGGAAGCAUUAUAAGUCAUAGGCAUGGAAGUCCAUGUAUGCAUGACCCUAACAUAAGAUGAAAUGUCUCCGAGACUGUAUGCCUUCUACUUUAAAGUGUUUUGCUUAUCAAAGAGGAACAUUUUCUUUCUUUUUUUAUUUGAGACAGAGUUUCGCUCUUGUUACCCCGAUUGGAGUGCAAUGGCGUGAUCUCGGCUCACCACAACCUCUGCCUCCUGGGUUCAGGCAAUUCUCCUGCCUCAGCCUCCUGAGUAGCUGGGAUUACAGGCAUGCACCACCAUGCCCAGCUAAUUUUUUGUAUUUUUAGUAGAGACGGGGUUUCACCAUGUUGACCAGGAUGGUCUCGAUCUCUUGACCUCGUGGUCCACCCGCCUCGGCCUCCCAAAGUGCUGGGAUUACAGGCGUGAGCCACCGUGCCCAGCCAAGAGGAACAUUUUCACACGAUACUCUAGGAAGUUAAGACUGUUUUGGUCACGUCUUGACAUAAUUCUGGAAACCUUAUAAAGUCAGAAAAUAGCUACUGUCAUUGUCAGCGCCACACAGCAGGAGGAAUGGAGGUAGCUUGGUGGGACAGGAGAGAACGCUUCAGGAGACUUGGCUCCGCCUCUGACUAGCUCUGUGUUUAUGGGCAAGACCAUCCCUGCAGCUAGCUCUGCGCCACUGGCUUCCUCAUGAAAGCAGAGUUAUAUGAAAUUGUCUGAGCCUUAGAAACUGCCAGAAUUUCAUGGGCUGUAACUUAGGUGCCUCCAGGGCCCAAGCAGGUGAGGUAAAUGAAUAAAGGGUGCACCAGGGGUGACAGGGAGUUCCAGAGCUGAGUCAUUGAGUCAGUGAACCACACAGCACAAAGGCAUAUAAUAUGGCUUGGCUCUGUGUCCCCAUCCAGGUCUCAUCUUGUAGCUCCCAUAAUUUCCAUGUGUUGUGGGAGGGACCUGGUGGGAGAUAAUUGAAUUAUGGGAGCAGGUAUUCCUGUGCUGUUCUGGUGGUAGUGAAUGGGUCUUAUAAGAUCUGUUAGUUUUAAAAAUGGGAGUUUCUAUCACAAGCUGGCAUCCACAUAAGCUGUGACUUGCUCUUUCUUGCCUUCUUCCAUGAUUGUGAGGCUUCCCCAGCCAUGCGGAACUGUAAGCCCAAUAAACCUCUUUCUAUGGUAAAUUGCCUAGUCGUGGGCAUGUCUUUGUCAGCAGCAUGAAAACAGACUAAUACAGUAAACUUUUGUCAGUAGAGUGGGGCACUGCUGAGAAGAUACCUGAAAAUGUUAAAGCCACUUUGGAACAAGGGAACAGGCAGAGAGGUUGGAACAGUUUGAAGGGCUGAUUAGAAGACAGGAUAAUAUGGGAAAGUUUGGAACUUCUAGAGACUUGUCAAGUGGCUUUGCUCAAAAUGCUGAUAGCAAUAUGAACAUUAAGUCCAGGCUGAGGUGGUCUUAGAUGGAGAUGAGGAACUUGUUGGGAACUGGAGCAAAGGUGACCCUUGUUAUGUUUUAGCAAAGAGACUGGUGGCAUUUUGUUCCUGCCCUAGAGAUUUGUGGAACUUUGAACUUGAAAGAGAUGAUUUAGGGUAUCUGGCAGAAGAAAUUUCUUUUUUUUUUUUUUUUUGAGAUGGAGUUUCGCUCUUGUUACCCAGGCUGGAGUGCAAUGGUGCCAUCUUGGCUCACUGCAACCUUCGCCUCCUGGUCUCAGGCAAUUUUCCUGCCUCAGCCUCCUGAGUAGCUGGGAUUACAGGCACACGCCACCAUGCCCAGCUAAUUUUUUUUUUUUUGUAUUUUUAGUAGAGAUGGGGUUUCACCAUGUUGACCAGGAUGGUCUCAAUCUCUUGACCUUGUGAUCCACCUGCCUCGGACUCACAAAGUGCUGGGAUUACAGGCUCGAUGGCAUUCAAGAGGUGACUUACGUGCUGUUAAAAACAUUACAUUUUAAAAGGGAAACAGACAAUAAACGUUUGGAAAAUUUGCAGCCUGAAAAUGCAGUAGAAAAGAAAAACCCAUUUUCUGAGGAGAAGUUCAAGCUGGCUACAGAAAUUUGCAUAAGUAACAAAGAGCCGAAUGUUAAUCUGCAAGACAAUGGGGAAAAUGUCUCCAGGGCAUGUCACAGGUCUUCAUGGAGGUCCCUCUCAUCACAGACCUAGAAGCCUAGGGGGAAAAGUGGUUUUGUGGGCCAAGGGCGGGGCCCAGGGUCCCUGUGCUGUGUGGAACCUAGGGACUUGGUGCCCUAUGUCCCAGCCACUCCAGUCUUGGCUGAAAAGGGCCAGCAUAGAGCUCGGGCCAUGUCUUCAGAGGGUACAAGCCCCAAACCUUAGCACCUCAAACCUACUGCUGGUGUUGAGUCUGUGAGGGCACAGAAGUCAAGAACUGGGGUGUGGAAACCUCCAACUAGAUUUUGAAAGAUGUAUGGAAAUGCUUGGAUGCCCAGGCAGAAGUUUGCUGCAUGCUGCAAGGUUAGGACCCUCAUGGAGAACCUCUGCUAUGGCAAUGUGGAAGGGAAACUUGGGGUCACAGCCCCCAUACAGAUGUGACUGUCUAGUAGAGCUGUGAGAAAAGGAUCACCAUCUUCCAGACCCCAGAAUGGUAUCCACUGACAGUUUGCACUGUGCACCUGGAAAAGCCACACUCACUCACAGCCCAUGAAAGCAGCUGGGAGGGAGGCUGUACCCUGCAAAGCCACAGGGUCAGAGCUUCCCAAGGACAUGGGAAUCCACCUCCUGUAUCAGUGUGACCUGGAUGUGAGACAUGGAGUCAAAGGAAAUCAUUUUGGAGCGUUAAGAUUUGACUGCUUGGCUGGAUUUCAGACUUGAAUGGGGCCUGUAGCCCCUUUGUUUUGGCCAACAUUUCUCAUUUGGAAUGACUGUAUCUACCCAAUGCCUGUACCCCCACCCCCCACCCCCCAUUGUAUCUAGGAAGUAACUAACUUGCUUUUGAUUUUACAGGCUCAUAGGUGGAAGGGACUUGCUUUGUCUCAGAUGAGACUUUGGACUAUGGACUUACGAGUUAAUGCUGAAAUGAGUUGAGACUUUGGGGGCAUGAUUGGUUUUGAAAUGUGAAGAUAUGAGAUUUGGGAGGGGCCAAGGGCAGAAUGAUGUUUUUUGCCUCUAUGCCCCACUCAAGUUUUAUCUUGUAGCUCCCAUAAUUUCCAUGUGUUGUGGGAGGGACCCAGUGUGAGAUGACUGAAUCAUGAGGGCAGGUCUUUCCCGUGCUGGUCUCAUGAUAGUGAAUGGGUCUCAUGAGAUCUGAUGGUUUCAAAAACAGGACUUUCUCUGCACAAGCUCUCUUUUUGCCUGCUGCCAUCCGCGUAAAAUGUGACUUAUUCCUCCUUGCCUGCUGCCAUGAUUGUGAGGUCUCGGUCAUGUGGAACUGUAAGUCCAAUAAACCUCUUUCUUUUUUAAAUUG